GCCCGGGUGGCGGAAUGGCAGACGCGGCGGACUUAAAAUCCGCGGCCCGCAAGGGCGUGAGGGUUCGACCCCCUCCCUGGGCA
rnacentral:tRNA from 1 species